CAGCUGGAUAGUGCAGUGUGCCCUGAAAUGCUCUGAAGACAGUAAGUACCCUCGUAGUGCUAAUAUAGUAAUCACUUUUUCUACCGGCAGCUGGAUGGAGCAUAUGUGCAGUGUGCUCUCUUUGGAGAAGCUGUCUCUGUGAAUUACUGAGGUGCAGAACAAAAACAUCUGGCAUUCCCUUGUGAGGAAAGCUCAGAUAUGAAAGCUAAGGCAAGGAGCAGGAAGAGGGGUAUUCACUCUCUCCAGUGGCUGCCUGCUGAGGAAGCAUGAUGUGUGCUGAAACCCUGCUUCUCAGGAGUAACUGACCGUUGCUGCUAAUGGGAAGUAGAGAAUAAACCAUGUUAUCUUUCACUUUACUUUGCUUCUACUUUAAUAAACUACCUUAUCCCAACCCAUUUUCCAUCUUGCUCUCUGCUCUGUCCAGCUGGGAAGGGGAGUGAUAGAGCGGAUGAGUGGGCAUCUGGUGUCCAGCCAAGAUCAACACACCCCAAGGGCUCAACAUUUAGCUUCAUCAGAAGAAGGAGUUGGGGAAGAACAGCAUGAAUCAUGUCUUCACCCUGUGUACAGAGAUACAGGAUGAGGAGGCAACAGUCCUCUCACUCCCAUUCUGUGUGUUCACUGCCUGGACACACCAUUGUCUUCCCUGUGGCAUGGCAUCAUUCCAGGUAGUUUUCCCCCUGAUACAACACGGAAUUUCUAAAAAUA